rnacentral:rRNA from 1 species
UACGUAGGGCGCAAGCGUUAUCCGGAAUUAUUGGGCGUAAAGAGCUCGUAGGCGGUUUGUCGCGUCUUCCGUGAAAACUGGGGGCUUAACUUCCAGCUUGCGGUGGAUACGGGCUGACUUGAGGCAUUGAGGGGAGAACGGAAUUCCUGGUGUAGCGGUGAAAUGCGCAGAUAUCAGGAGGAACACCGGUGGCGAAGGCGGUUCUCUGGCAAUGUUCUGACGCUGAGGAGCGAAAGUGUGGGGAGCGAACAGG